AAAAUUCACAUAAGGCGCUCAAUGAUAAAGGAAGUAGGGAUGCAGAGACAACUAGGAGGUUUGCCUAGAAUUAGCCACUUUUAAAAGAGUGCAUAAUAACUCAUUGAUCGAGCACUCUUGUGUUGAAGAUGAACGGGGCUAAGCGAUCUAUUGAA
rfam:Gossypium hirsutum cultivar TM-1 unplaced genomic scaffold scaffold2101.1, whole genome shotgun sequence